UAAGCAAUCUAUACGGUGAAACUGCGAAUGGCUCAUUAAAUCAGUUAUCGUUUAUUUGAUAGUACCUUACUACUUGGAUAACCGUGGUAAUUCUAGAGCUAAUACAUGCUAAAAACCUCGACUUCGGAAGGGGUGUAUUUAUUAGAUAAAAAACCAAUGCCCUUCGGGGCUCCUUGGUGAUUCAUAAUAACUUAACGAAUCGCAUGGCCUUGUGCCGGCGAUGGUUCAUUCAAAUUUCUGCCCUAUCAACUUUCGAUGGUAGGAUAGUGGCCUACCAUGGUUUCAACGGGUAACGGGGAAUUAGGGUUCUAUUCCGGAGAGGGAGCCUGAGAAACGGCUACCACAUCCAAGGAAGGCAGCAGGCGCGCAAAUUACCCAAUCCCGACACGGGGAGGUAGUGACAAUAAAUACUGAUACAGGGCUCUUUUGGGUCUUGUAAUUGGAAUGAGUACAAUUUAAAUCCCUUAACGAGGAACAAUUGGAGGGCAAGUCUGGUGCCAGCAGCCGCGGUAAUUCCAGCUCCAAUAGCGUAUAUUAAAGUUGUUGCAGUUAAAAAGCUCGUAGUUGAACCUUGGGCCUGGUUGGUCGGUCCGCCUCACCGCGUGCACUGAUCCGACCGGGUCUUUCCUUCUGGGGAGCCGCAUGCCCUUCACUGGGUGUGUCGGGGAACCAGGACUUUUACUUUGAAAAAAUUAGAGUGUUCAAAGCAGGCCUAUGCUCGAAUACAUUAGCAUGGAAUAAUAGAAUAGGACGUGUGGUUCUAUUUUGUUGGUUUCUAGGACCGCCGUAAUGAUUAAUAGGGAUAGUCGGGGGCAUCAGUAUUCCGUUGUCAGAGGUGAAAUUCUUGGAUUUACGGAAGACUAACUACUGCGAAAGCAUUUGCCAAGGAUGUUUUCAUUAAUCAGUGAACGAAAGUUAGGGGAUCGAAGACGAUCAGAUACCGUCGUAGUCUUAACCAUAAACUAUGCCGACUA
rnacentral:rRNA from 1 species